CUGCGUAUAGCUCAGUCUGGUGGAGUGCCCGUUUCGGUAACGGGAGGCCGUGGGUUCAAAUCCUACUACGCAGACCA
rnacentral:tRNA from 1 species